UACGGGGGGAGCAAGCGUUGUUCGGAUUUACUGGGCGUAAAGGGCGCGUAGGCGGUCAGCACAAGUCAGUUGUGAAAUCUCCGGGCUUAACUGGGGAGGGUCACUCGAUACUGAUCGACUUGAAGGCAGGAGAGGGUAGUGGAAUUCCCAGUGUAGCGGUGAAAUGCGUAGAUACUGGGAGGAACACCGGUGGCGAAGGCGGCUACCUGGACAGGUACUGACGCUGAUGCGCGAAAGCCAGGGGAGCAAACAGGA
rnacentral:rRNA from 1 species